rnacentral:rRNA from 1 species
GGGGAAUCUUCCGCAAUGGGCGCAAGCCUGACGGAGCAACGCCGCGUGGGUGAAGAAGGCCUUCGGGUUGUAAAGCCCUGUCUUCAGGGACGAAGGAGAUGACGGUACCUGAGGAGGAAGCCACGGCUAACUACGUGCCAGCAGCCGCGGUAAUACGUAGGUGGCGAGCGUUGUCCGGAAUCACUGGGCGUAAAGGGCGCGUAGGCGGGCAUUUAAGUCAGAUGUGAAAACUGCGGGCUUAACCUGGAGAUUGCAUCUGAUACUGGAUGUCUUGAGUGCAGGAGAGGACAGUGGAAUUCCUAGUGUAGCGGUGAAAUGCGUAGAUAUUAGGAGGAACACCAGUGGCGAAGGCGGCUGUCUGGACUGUAACUGACGCUGAGGCGCGAAAGCGUGGGGAGCAAAC